CCCGAGGGGUGAUGACAAUAAAAGGCCGAAUUGCAGUGCUUCCCCCAGCAGUUGGUUCUCGGUAGGGACACGAUGACAGGAACCCCAGAGCGAGACUGUCUGACCUCGGG